rnacentral:rRNA from 1 species
GUGAGGAAUAUUGGUCAAUGGGAGCAAUCCUGAACCAGCAAUGCCGCGUGUGGGAUGACAGGGCUUCGCCUUGUAAACCACUGUCGGACGGGACGAAAGGAGGCCUCGGGCCUCUGGGACGGUACCGUCAAAGGAAGGGUCGGCUAACUACGUGCCAGCAGCCGCGGUAAUACGUAGGACCCGAGCGUUGUCCGGAUUUACUGGGUAUAAAGGGUGCGUAGGCGGCCUUGUGCGUCAGAGGUGAAAUAUCCGGGCUUAACCCGGAGGGUGCCUUUGAUACGGCAGGGCUUGAGUGCGAGAGAGGAUGAUGGAAUUCCUGGUGUAGCGGUGAAAUGCGUAGAUAUCAGGAGGAACACCGGUGGCGAAGGCGGUCAUCUGGCUCGUAACUGACGCUGAGGCACGAAAGCGCGGGGAUCAAACAGGAUUAGAAACCCCUGUAGUCC